rnacentral:rRNA from 1 species
CAAUAGCGUAUAUUAAAGUUGUUGCGGUUAAAAAGCUCGUAGUUGGAUUUCUGCUGAGGACGAUCGGUCCGCCCUCUGGGUGAGCAUUGACUCGGCCUUGGCAUCUUCUUGGAGAACGCUACUGCACUUGACUGUGUGGUGCGGUAUCCAGGACUUUUACUUUGAGGAAAUUAGAGUGUUCAAAGCAGGCCUAUGCUCUGAAUAGGUUAGCAUGGAAUAAUAGAAUAGGACUUCGGUACUAUUUUGUUGGUUUCUAGGACCGAAGUAAUGAUUAAUAGGGACAGUUGGGGGCAUUCAUAUUCCAUUGUCAGAGGUGAAAUUCUUGGAUUAACGGAAGAUGAACUACUGCGAAAGCAUCUGCCAAGGAUGUUUUCAUUGAUCAAGAACGAAAGUUAGGGGAUCGAAGAUGAUUAGAUACCAU